GGAUGUGAGGGUGAUCUGGUUGCAACAUCUGUCACCCUAUUGAUCACCAGGGUUGAUUCUGCUGAUCUAGCUGGCUAGGUGGGUGUCCCUUUCUGUCCUCACUGCUCCAUGUACAUCCCUCCUGAAGCUAGCUGUGCGUUCAGUGGAAGAGGAUGUCCUUCCCUGAUUAGAGACUGAUAUUCAGUAGAAGGUCUAUAAGUAGUUGUGCUUUCCUGCUAGAACCUCCAAACAAGCCCUCAAGGUUCUUAAGCCAGAAUAAAAGAGAAGAAAGCUUAAAACUUCUCAAUCUUUG
ensembl:misc_RNA 7SK 7SK RNA